CAGUCGCCGCGGUAAUACGAAGGGGGCUAGCGUUGCUCGGAAUGACUGGGCGUAAAGGGCGCGUAGGCGGUUCGUACAGUUGGAUGUGAAAUUCCUGGGCUCAACCCGGGGGCUGCAUUCAAUACGUGCGGGCUUGAGUGUGGAAGAGGGUUGUGGAAUUCCCAGUGUAGAGGUGAAAUUCGUAGAUAUUGGGAAGAACACCGGUGGCGAAGGCGGCAACCUGGUCCAUAACUGACGCUGAGGCGCGAAAGCGUGGGGAGCAAACAGGAUUAGAUACCCCGGUAGUCCCUGUCUCUUAUAC
rnacentral:rRNA from 1 species